CAAGGAAUAUUGGUCAAUGGACGCAAGUCUGAACCAGCCAUGCCGCGUGAAGGAUGAAGGUCCUCUGGAUUGUAAACUUCUUUUAUCUGGGACGAAAACGGGAUUUUUAUCUCAAUUGACGGUACCAGAGGAAUAAGCACCGGCUAACUCCGUGCCAGCAGCCGCGGUAAUACGAAGGAUGCAAGCGUUAUCCGGAAUUAUUGGGUUUAAAGGGUGCGUAGGCGGACUAAUAAGUCAGUGGUGAAAUCUCCGAGCUUAACUUGGAAACUGCCGUUGAUACUAUAGGUCUUGAAUUAUCUGGAGGUAAGCGGAAUAUGUCAUGUAGCGGUGAAAUGCUUAGAUAUGACAUAGAACACCAAUUGCGAAGGCAGCUUACUACAUAUAAAUUGACGCUGAGGCACGAAAGCGUGGGGAUCAAACA
rnacentral:rRNA from 1 species